rnacentral:rRNA from 1 species
GAGCGAACGCUGGCGGCAGGCCUAACACAUGCAAGUCGAGCGGCCGUAGCAAUACGGCAGCGGCAGACGGGAGAGUAACACGUGGGAACGUACCCUUCAGUUCGGAACAACCAAGGGAAACUUUGGCUAAUACCGGAUACGUCCGUAAGGAGAAAGAUUUAUCGCUGAAGGAUCGGCCCGCGUCUGAUUAGCUAGUUGGUGUGGUAACGGCGCACCAAGGCGACGAUCAGUAGCUGGUCUGAGAGGAUGAUCAGCCUCACUGGGACUGAGACACGGCCCAGACUCCUACGGGAGGCAGCAGUGGGGAAUAUUGGACAAUGGGCGCAAGCCUGAUCCAGCCAUGCCGCGUGGAUGAUGAAGGCCCUAGGGUUGUAAAGUCCUUUUAUGAGAGAAGAAAGGCUCUUUGAGCUGUGACGGUAUCUCAUGAAUAAGCCACGGCUAACUACGUGCCAGCAGCCGCGGUAAUACGUAGGUGGCAAGCGUUGUCCGGAUUUACUGGGCGUAAAGGGUGUGUAGGCGGAAGCUUAAGUAGGAAGUGAAAGGUUGGAGCUCAACUCCAAACACUGCUCCCUAUACUGGGUUUCUUGAGUCUCGGAGAGGAAGAUGGAACGACACGUGUAGCGGUGAAAUGCGUUGAUAUGUGUCGGAACACCAAUGGCGAAGGCAGUCUUCUGGACGAGAACUGACGCUGAGACACGAAAGCCAAGGGAGCGAACAGGAUUAGAUACCCUGGUAGUCUUGGCCCUAAACUAUGUUCACUAGGUGUCGGGGGUUUCCUUCGGUGCCGCAGCUAACGCAUUAAGUGAACCGCCUGGGGACUACGGCCGCAAGGUUGAAACUCAAAGGAAUUGGCGGGGGCCCGCACAAGCGGUGGAGCAUGUGGCUUAAUUCGAUGCAACGCGAAGAACCUUACCAGGGCUUGACAUGUAGCUGCAAGCCGCCGAAACGUGGUCGCCUUCGAGGGUGCUACACAGGUGGUGCAUGGCUGUCGUCAGCUCGUGUUGUGAAAUGUUGGGUUAAGUCCCGCAACGAGCGCAACCCUCAUGUUCUGUUACCAGCGAGUAAAGUCGGGGACUCGGAACAAACUGCCUCUGUAAGGAGGAGGAAGGUGGGGAUGACGUCAAGUCAUCAUGCCCCUUACGCCCUGGGCUGCACACAUGCUACAAUGGCCGGUACAAAGAGCUGCGAACUCGCGAGAGUAAGCUAAUCUCAAAAAGCCGGUCUCAGUUCGGAUUGGAGUCUGCAACUCGACUCCAUGAAGUUGGAAUCGCUAGUAACCGCCGGUCAGCAAUACGGCGGUGAAUACGUUCCCGGGCCUUGCACACACCGC